GCCUCCUAUCAUGUAUGUGUGUGCCUGCUCUUUCUUUUUCUAGCCCUGGUUGCUCUACUUGCAGUGAUCCCUGCUGGCAGUUUCUCUUUUCAGGAUUCAGAAGUUAAUUCUAUUCAAAAGGAGGCUCCACCAACAUUUUGGGCAAGAGGAACAACAGGUCUGGAGGGAUGGUCAGCACAAAAGACUCCUCACCAUGGAAACGACAGUAUGUGUAAAACAUCUUUGUGGAAAAUGUCAUGUGGGAUGAUCUAGGACGUAUAUAAAAUCCUGACCAAUAGUGAAAAUGUAACCUUUUGUCUAAGCUGAAAUGAAAAGAGAUGGAGAAUGUGUAGACAUGUAACUCUUGUACCAAAAAAGAAAAAGUUGUGUAUUUGGGAGGCAACAUAGUGAUACACUCAGCUUACGAAUGUGUGUAGAAGACAAGCAACUCAAGUAAAGAACUAUCUUAAUAA